rnacentral:rRNA from 1 species
CCUACGGGAGGCUGCAGUGGGGAAUAUUGGACAAUGGGGGCAACCCUGAUCCAGCCAUGCCGCGUGUGUGAAGAAGGCCCUCGGGUUGUAAAGCACUUUCAGUGAGGAAGAACGCCUGGUGGUUAAUACCCAUCAGGAAAGACAUCACUCACAGAAGAAGCACCGGCUAACUCCGUGCCAGCAGCCGCGGUAAUACGGAGGGUGCGAGCGUUAAUCGGAAUUACUGGGCGUAAAGCGCGCGUAGGUGGCUUGAUAAGCCGGUUGUGAAAGCCCCGGGCUCAACCUGGGAACGGCAUCCGGAACUAUCAAGCUAGAGUGCAGGAGAGGAAGGUAGAAUUCCCGGUGUAGCGGUGAAAUGCGUAGAGAUCGGGAGGAAUACCAGUGGCGAAGGCGGCCUUCUGGACUGACACUGACACUGAGGUGCGAAAGCGUGGGUAGCAAACAGGAUUAGAUACCCUUGUAGUC